GAUUCUAUUCCAUAAUAGAUCUAGCAGUACAUUUUAUCUACCUAGAACAAAAUAACAGAAUCUGUUUAGAUAAAUAUAGAAAACAACUAUACCUAAUAUCGGAAAUAUUCAGAUAUCAUCAGUCAAUCUACUCCCACUAUCAGAGAAGAAGGAGAAGAAUAUAUUACUAGACAAUAUUUAUUUUACCUGUACCAAAAACUUCCCCUUUAUAUUUUAUUAUUUUUUAAACCCCCUUUAAUAUUAUAUAUAUAUAGAUAGAUAGAUAGAUAGAUAUGCCUAAAGGUCUUAUUUUCCUCCUUCUCUAUGUGGUAUCUACCUUUCUUCUAUAAUUAAAUUUUAUCGUUUAUCUCUCUAUAGGGCAAUUGCACUAAGCAAUUUUCAAAAACUUUUAAGCGGCAGAGUGAAGAGGGAAAUAGGCAUCUGAAGCUAGCAUAAAUACACGAUCAUGGAAUAUUCUAUUCAUGUUCCCAGACACUGUAUGUACACUAUAAAUUUUAUAAAUUGAAAUCCAUCUCUUUUGCUAGUGUUGGUUCCCUUCUGUUUGCUAGAAAUAAACAUAAGUGAAUUGGUGGUUUUACUAUGCUUCCACAUGUCUACAAUUGAGCUCUUAUGCUCCUUCAUUUUACUGGGUUGUUGUCAACUUGUGAUCCUUGAACGUGUUACUUUGGUAUCAUGAUAAAUAUGCUUUUUCUUACAAAAUCAAGUAAUUUCCUACUUUGGAACAGAAGAGAUGACUAUUUUCCAGUUAGAAUGUGCAACCAUUUAUAGAAAAUAGGAAAAAGACAUCAAUAAGUUUGGAUCAUUUGGAGGACAGGUGAAAGAUCUGGUUAUUUUUUUAUUUUAUUUUUUGAAUUUGACUAACAUAAAGUAAUAUAUAUGAUUAACUCUUUCGGGGAAGGUCCUCUUAAAUUUCUUAUUAUGGAGGUUGGACUACCCGUGCAAGAUCAAGGGUAGGAGUAGCUUUGUAUUAAUGCAGCCAGCAAACCUAGGAGGGAAAGAAAGUUCGAGUAGCGUUGAGGGCUGUUAAUGCACUCAGUAGAAAAAUACUAAUGUGCAUGCCAGGAGCGAGAUGAGAGGGAGGCCAAGAGGCCUCGGGGAUCUGGUAGUUAUGUGGUGCUCCUUCGAGGGGUCAGUUUCAACACGACAUAGGUCGUCCAUUCAGACAUGCUCAGUCAGCUCGCCCAGGUUAUCGUGGGGCGUCAUCGGGUCAUGGUUCUCAAAGUUCUCAUCAAGGCCAGUCAUCACUCAGUGCCCUUCCAGCCCAGAGUUCGUCCCGUGCUUCGUUAGUUCAGAGCUCUUCUAUGCCAGGUGCAUCUGCUAGUCAUUCCGAUGCUAGGGGUUCCCUUCAGUCCCUGUCUCUAGCACCAGGGAGUUGCUAUGAGUGUGGAAAGUUAUGUCAUAUGUGGAGGCAAUGUGACCAAAGAUGUACACCAAAAAAAAAGGAUGCAAUUUUCAUUAAGCAAACCAAUAUACUAUAACUAUAGGUAUCUUUAAUUAAAUUUGUGUAUAAUAUAGAUUUUGUGUAUAAUUCAGUAAUGGUAUGAAUCCUUUUUUUGAGAAAGAAUCAUUGUAUCUUACACGUUAAUUUUAAGUUAAAAUGAUAAUUCUUUAUUUAGGACAAGCUUUGUAUUUGACCUUAUUUGUGAACAAUAUACAUUACUAUAGGUAUCAUAUACAUUACUAUAGGUAUCUUUAAUUAAAUUUUGUAUAUAAUUCAGUUAUGGUAGGUAUCCUCUUUUAAGAAAGAAUUAAUUAAAUUUUGUUAAUUUCGUUUUGUAUCUUACACAUUAAUUUUAAGUUGAAAUAAUAAUUUUUAUUUAGUACAAGCUUUGUCUCUGACCUUAUUUGUGAACAAUAUACAUUACUAUAG
rnacentral:lncRNA from 1 species